UACAGAGGGUGCGAGCGUUAAUCGGAAUUACUGGGCGUAAAGCGUGCGUAGACGGUAGCGUAAGUCAGAUGUGAAAGCCCCGGGCUCAACCUGGGAACUGCAUUUGAGACUGCUCUGCUCGGGUGCGGAAGAGGGAAGCGGAAUUUCCGGUGUAGCGGUGAAAUGCGUAGAUAUCGGAAGGAACACCAGUGGCGAAAGCGGCUUCCUGGUCCGACACCGACGUUCAGGCACGAAAGCGUGGGGGAGCAAACAGG
rnacentral:rRNA from 1 species